GUCACCUAGAGGUGACAGACCUUUGUCUGCGUGUAGUUCUGUUAUUUAUUUUUGUUUAUCCUUUAAUUUCGCUUUCUUUCAUGUUCAAUCAUAUACAUUUUCUUUGAUAUACUCCAAUGGGGCCAUUGUUUACAUUUGCAGCAGUGCCAUGGCGUUGAAGACUGUGCACUGAAGGAUUUUCUCCAAAUUCUCAAGUCCCAUCACCAAAAUGGCUGCCAAAAGAAUAAAAAGUCUGACUAUCGAUGAGAUGAUUCAAAUAUUGGAAACUCCAGACAACGAAGACCAAGAAUUGAUGAAUGUAAAUGAAGAAAUCCGAGGCAGAGAUGUAGUAGAAGUCACAAUUUUUCCUCCAGAUGAUGGGGCCCAGACAGAUGAGGAUUCAGAUGAUGAAAAUACAAGAAAUCUGAACCACCUAACUGCAGCUCAGCUAACUUCAGAGUGCGAAGUGAUGACUGAAGUUAGAGACAUGGGAGCAACAAAGAAUGAGUAUACUGAGAAGAAAAGAACAUCACGGAACAGAAAAAAAGACCGUCUCUGGAAAGCUAAUGUAGAACUUCCUAAGUGUCUGUGAAAGAGCAAGCAAUGCAAGCAAAUGAAAAAGUGAGUGACUUCAUGACUCCUACUGAUUGCUUUGAGCUUUGCUUUGAUGAGUCAGCGGUAAAGCUAUUAGUAGACAUGUCAAACACAUAUGCUUCUCAGAAAAACCACACUCUAAAUAUAACUGCAAGUGAAAUGAAAGUGUAUAUAGGCAUUCUGUUGUUGACAGGAUAUCUUACCCCACAGAAUAUACGCAUGUUUUGGGAAACUAAAUCUGACACCCAUAAUGAAUUGGUUUCUCGUAGCAUGAGAAGAGGAAGAUUUUUGGAGAUCCAUAAAUACCUUCACACCUGUAACAACCACCAACUUCCUGAUAAUGACAAAUUCUGUAAAGUGAGACAGUACCUAGAUCAUUUGAAUGAAUGUUUUGUGAAGAACUCAAAAUAUGUAAUGACUACAAAUAAUAUAUCAAUUGAUGAGACAAUGGUGCCCUAUUAUGGACAUCAUGGUAGCAAGCAGCAUAUACACGGGAAACCAAUUAGAUUUGGGCAGAGCUGGGAUUCUGUAGAAAAAAUCUACCACCGGUAUCGGUAGUCGGUAGCGAGCCGCGUCCAAUCGGUAUCGGUAGAUCGGUAGAUUUUUCAGAAAUCUACCGAUCGGUAUAGAUUCGGUAUCGGUAGAUUAAAAAACUCUAUAAUUAUAUAAUAAAAAAAUGCUUUUAAAGGCCCAUAACACACUUUUUAAGUUAUUUCUCUCUUAUUUCGGUUAACUUAAGAAUAGAAGUAAAUUAGAGUCUUUUAAUACCUUUUUUAAGUUCAAAAAUACAUAACUUAUUUAAUAAAUGAAUUUCUCCCUCAAAAAAUAAACAUCAAACUGAAAAAAAGUUCGUAACAAUAUGAUUAAAUAGUUCACUGACUUGAUCAAAACUUUUUUAAUGUAAAAUAAAGUUUAAAAAAGGAAAAUCACUUGAAAAGUUAAAAGCACAAAACGAUUAAGUGCUGCUGCCGCGGCGGACUUAAAAACACUGCCACUUAAAACACUAGGCGAUGAGGCUGAGCACGUUGUCGAGAGCGUAGGAGCUAGAGCGUAGGUGUAGGCUACUCGCGUCGGCAGGCCAAACAAGAGUGGGGCUCCCGCCAAAACUUUUGGCGGGAGCGAGAAUCUGCUAGGUCGUGGCUGCCUCUGAUUGGCUGAGAACGCCCAGAACGGCCGGUGAUUGGCUAAGCGUGAUGACGUCAAAGUAAUACCUGGAAUUUCCUGCUAACUGCUUCCCAUAGAUGCGCUCGAACGUGUUGAAACUUGUCCGUUUCAUUUUGCCGGGGUCGUCUUCUCUUAAGUCUUAACAAAAAAGUCCCGCGCUCGCUUUUUCAAUCUACCGAUACCGAUUGACUGCCAAUCAUGCGAUCGGUAGCGGUAUUCGGUAGUUUCUUCAAAAUACCGAAUGAUCGGUAUCGGUAGCAGUAAUCUACCGCCGGUAGUACCGAUCCCAAAUGUCAAUCGGUAGUCCCAACUCUGGAUUUGGGUACAAGUUAUGGUCAGCAGCAACUCCAGGGGGAUAUCUGAUAAAUUUCAUCCCAUACCAGGGAUCAAAGGCAGCCCCCCUUCCAGAACAAGAGAGCUCGGACUUGGUGCUUCUGUUGUUCUGUCCCUCACAUCUCACCUACCUGAGACAUUCAAGGCAUACAGUCUCUACUUUGAUAACUUUUUUACUAGUCUUGCACUUCUUGAUGAACUUACAGAACUAGGUCAUCGAGGAACGGGAACGAUCCGAGAGAACAUAACUGAGAAGUGCCCUUUGGAAACUGCAGCGGAGAUGAAAAAGAAGCCAAGAGGAUCAAUGACAAUGAGAACAGCAAAAGAUAUAAGUGUUGUUAGAUGGCAUGACAAUAGUAUUGUAACACUUGCAUCCAACAGUUAUGGGUGCCAGCCUAUCACAAAAGUAGACAGAGUCGGAAGUGUAAAUGGGAAGAGACAAAAGAUCAAAGUUGACUGUCCACAUGUGGUGACCAAAUACAACAAAUCUAUGGGUGGAGUGGACCGGUUUGAUCAGAAUAUUGCUGUUCAGAGAGUGUCUUUCAGAGGAAAGAAAUGGUGGUAUCCUCUAUUUGCUUUUGGAAUUGAUGCAGCUUGUCAGAAUGGAUGGCAGAUACAUCGAAUGUGUGGGAAUAGUAAUAUGACAUAUUGUGCAAGCUUACUUAGGAACCUAUCAGAAACCAUCCACAAAGUCACCUUACUGCGGUGCUAGAGUGGAGAAAAGAGUGCAUGAGAAAGUACGCACAGAUGCUGAUAUAUCUGGUCAUGUACAAGAGUCAUGUAAUCAAUCCCGCUGUGCAGAGUGCCACCAGCGGACCAGAGUCAUGUGCAGAAAGUGCAAUGUACCUCUUCAUGUUCAUUGCUUUUAUGUUUUCCAUAACAAAUAAGAGAAUGGAUGCACAGGCCUUUUUUUUUACACGGAUUACAUAUGUUAUUCGGUAGGAUUGGAAGUGUAUCAUGCAGGACUUACUUUUAUUUGGAAGUGUAUAAUGCAGCACUCACUUUUGUAUAAAGAAAUUUCCCAUUAAGUCUAGAUAGUUCAUGUGCUGGCCAACAAUUGCACACACACACAGAGAGAGAGAGAGAGAGAGAGAGAGAGAGAGAGAGAGAGAGAGAGAGAGAGAGAGAGAGAGAGAGAGAGAGAGAGAGAGAGAGAGAGAGAUAGAGAGAGAUAGAGAGAGAGAGAGAGAGAGAGA